CCUACGGGAGGCAGCAGUGAGGAAUAUUGGUCAAUGGGGGGAACCCUGAUCCAGCGACGCCGCGUGAGUGAAGAAGUAUUUCGGUAUGUAAAGCUCUAUCUGCAGGGGAGAAAAUGACGGUACCUGACUAAGAAGCCCCGGCUAACUACGUGCCAGCAGCCGCGGUAAUACGUAGGGGGCAAGCGUUAUCCGGAUUUACUGGGGGUAAAGGGAGCGUAGACGGUGCAGUAAGUAGGAUGUGAAAGGUCGGGGCCCAACCCCGGGACUGCAUUGGAAACCGUUGAACUUGAGUACAGGAGAGGUAAGCGGAAUUCGUAGUGUAGCGGUGAAAUGCGUAGAUAUUAGGAAGAACACCAGUGGCGAAGGCAGCUUACUGGACUGUAACUGACGUUGAGGCUCGAAAGCGUGGGUAGCAAACAGGAUUAGAUACCCCAGUAGUC
rnacentral:rRNA from 1 species